GGAGGAGUGGCAGAGCGGUUGAAUGCACCGGUCUUGAAAACCGGCACGCCGUAAGGCGUCGUGGGUUCGAAUCCCACCUCCUCCG
rnacentral:tRNA from 1 species